rnacentral:rRNA from 1 species
GUAGUCCACGCUGUAAACGAUGUCAACUAGCCGUUGGGGGCCUUCGUGCCCUUGGUGGCGUAGCUAACGCGCUAAGUUGACCGCCUGGGGAGUACGGUCGCAAGAUUAAAACUCAAAUGAAUUGACGGGGGCCCGCACAAGCGGUGGAGCAUGUGGUUUAAUUCGACGCAACGCGAAGAACCUUACCAGGUCUUGACAUCCAGAGAAGUCGCUAGAGAUAGCUUCGUGCCUUCGGGAACUCUGAGACAGGUGCUGCAUGGCUGUCGUCAGCUCGUGUCGUGAGAUGUUGGGUUAAGUCCCGUAACGAGCGCAACCCUUAUCCUUAUUUGCCAGCACGUUAUGGUGGGAACUUUAAGGAGACUGCCGGUGACAAACCGGA